rnacentral:misc_RNA from 1 species
AUCUUCUUCAAAUUAAAUUUAUUUUUGAUUUGAGUCCUUGGGUUUGGUUGGCUGCCGCUAACCUUGCCUUAAAUGUAUGAGCUGGAGAUCAGUCGGGUUGCUAAGGCAAUUUGAAGCCCGCGUAAACGGUCUCUGUUUAAAACAAAAUUAACUU